UAGUCCACGCCCUAAACGAUGUCAACUAGACGUUGGGCUCAUUAAGGAGCUUAGUGUCGAAGCUAACGCAUUAAGUGAACCGCCUGGGGAGUACGGUCGCAAGACUAAAACUCAAAGGAAUUGACGGGGGCCCGCACAAGCGGUGGAGCAUGUGGUUUAAUUCGACGCAACGCGAAGAACCUUACCUGGGUUUGACAUCCUGUGAACGUCCAAGAGAUUGGACAGUGCCUUCGGGAGCACAGCGACAGGUGCUGCAUGGCUGUCGUCAGCCCGUGUCGUGAGAUGUUCGGUUAAGUCCGGCAACGAGCGCAACCCACAUCCUUAGUUGCCAGCAGUUCGGCUGGGCACUCUAGGGAAACUGCCCGUGAUAAGCGGGAGGAAGGUGUGGAUGACGUCAAGUCCUCAUGGCCCUUACGGGUUGGCUACACACGUGCUACAAUGGCAUCUACAGUGAGUUAAUCUCCAAAAGAUGUCUCAGUUCGGAUUGGGGUCUGCAACUCGACCCC
rnacentral:rRNA from 1 species